UAAAUAAUGACAGAUAAUGUAUUGAAUUUAGGAUUCAAUUAUAUGGAAUU
rnacentral:tRNA from 1 species